GCAGACAACAGAUCUGUGUAUUUGGGCUUAUAGUUUCAGAUGUUACAGUUUACAUUCAGCUGGCUCCAUUGUUUGUGGGCUAUGAUGAGAUGGAAGGUCACAAUGGAAGAACAUAUGAGGAGGGCACAGCUGUUCACUUCCUGGGUGCCCAAAGCAUCCAUCAACAAGACAUAGCCACCAAGAACACACUCCAGUGACUUGCUUCCUCCAAGCUGGCCCCACCUUCUAAGUUUCCAGCAUUCCUGAUGAUAUCCUAUUACAAAUCCAUAAAUGGAUACACCCACUGAUGAAUGUGGAGUCUCUGUGGCUCAAUCAACUUUCAGUGGCAUCAGAAGCUAGAGGGAGAGUUUUACAAAUAAGCCUUUUGGACAGUGGGAAGGAAGGGUGUCACCUGAAAUCUAAAGUGGAACAUUUCCUAAAAGUUCAUUGUUCUCCAUUCCCCAAGAGGAAUUCCUUCCUGAUAAUGAACAGUGGAAUAAGAUAAUCCAGCAUUGAAGAUAGGAAGUUUGUCACCCUUUUAAGUACCCAAGAACUGAUUAUUCCCAAAUUUGACGGAGUAUUGCUUUUGAUUUGGCAAGCAUGGUUUUCAUCAAUGGGCUCCCCUAAGUCUGACCUCAUCUACUUUGCUGCAAUUCUUUUUUCCCUUGGGUUCUCAGAGCAACAUGGUCUAGGAGAACUUUGCUUGCCAAAUGUAAGUAUACUCUUUCAGCAAGGAUGUUCUAUCUCCCGAUAGCCUCGUGAGGACAUUAAUGGACACAUGCCAAAGAACAUGCAUUAUGAUUCCUGCAAGCUUGAACAUGGUCACUAGAUAGCAAUCUUAAGUUAGACCAGCACAGAUGGGAAAUGACUGACUUGAGAGAGCUUGGAGAGCUUAGGGACACACACUGGAGAUGAUAGGAAAGGAAAUAUUGUAGAGAAAAAUCUGUAUAUCCCCUCUUUCUGGGUACCACAGAGUUCUACAGCCUUGUUUGCCUUUCAACUCCAGCAAGUCCAAGGCAGAGUACUCCUUUCCAUGCUCUGGACACAUGUUCAUUUAUGUAAUUAAGAGCAGUGAGGAGGAAUGUGUCUAAGCAUUCUACACACUGGAAGCACUGCUGCUGGGCACUAACUUGCUUAUCUUAUUCCAGUCUUUGGAGUACAAAGGAAGACACAGAGGCCACAUGUCCAAAGCCAGAGUUUGUGUGUGGUGGGAGCAUGGCGUGUGACUCAUGUCCAGGGACAAGAAGCUACGGCAAUUACUUCUGCAGACUCUCAAAGGAAUUCACGUUCCGAGAGGCGAUAAAUACCAGAAGCCGAUGGCUAAUCCACUUGAUUGAAUGAGAAGAAAAGGAAGUCGUUUCCUGUCAAUGCUUCUUUGGAUUCUUGCACAGUUUAAGAAGCACCAUUGAUCUGAUCAUCAGCACUGAAGAGGAAAUGCCCAUUCACUGAAGACACGCAAUGCUCAUCCCAGUUUGACAUGGGCAGCAAGUGGUUCCUUUUGUAGCCCUUUCUGUAAACUGUCCCCUCACAUACAUGUAAACCCCUGCUUCCUUCUUUAAGUAGCUACAUUGGUGGUGCCUCUGUUGUAAGGUUAAAGGGAAGAAUAACUAGAGAGUGGUGGGGAAAGCACUGGGGAAGCUGAUUUGUUUCUGCCUUUGUGGUGAUCUCUCAAAAUAUUUUUGAGAUAUUUUUGUUGAAAAGAUGCAAGCAAUUAUUUUUUUUUAGGAUUGAGGACUUAAAAUUCAUUGUUACUCGGGCUCAUUGGCACAUCAAUCUAAGCAGUUCGAGGUAAUGCUGUUGUGAUUGAGAAACACCACCACUGUAAAGCUUUAGCAGGGAGUCAAGCAGGUUAUGACGACACAGGGCUCAUUACUAAAUGUGAAGUUUUAAGGGAUAAAACUUUACAAUGAAACAAGAAAAAUCUCAAGAAAAAGAUUGGGCUCUAGUAAAAAUAAGCCAUGUCUUAAAAGUGGUUUUCCAUAUUCAACAUUAUUACCCUUCACAUUAAUGCUCAAGCUGGUUCAUAGUCCUCAGAAGUAAGAAUGGACAUUUAUACUUUGUGUAAUAGUAAUAUGUUGCACACACAAGUAAACACUUUUGGUGAUCAACAAAGCUUAUUUUUCUCUUUCAAUUUUAAAAAAGAUUAUUUGUAUUCUGUGUGCAUUGGUAUUUUCCUGAAUGUGUGUGUGUGUGAAGGUGCCAGAUCCCCUGGGACAGGAGCUAUGGACAGUUGAGAGUUGUCACUGGGGGCUGGGAGUUGAAACUGGUUCCUCCGGAAGAGCAGCCAAGUAUUCUUAACCACAGAGCCAUCUCUCUAGCCCCAAUUUUCUCUUUCUUAAUAGCACCAUGUAUGUUUACUUAAAAACUAAAGAUGUUUUUUAAACAAGUAAAGAUGCCAUGGAUUAUAGCAGGGAGGGUUCAUGGUUUCCCUUUCCCUCUAGUCUCCCUCUGCCUUUGUAAUUGCUUCUGAAAAGUCAUGAUGCUUCUUACUUUCUAUAUCAUAAACACCAAACUCAGAGGAUAAAGGGGCCCGGGGAUGUUUAGUUAGCAAAGUACUUGCAGUGUAAGCAUGAGGCCCUGAAUUCAAUUCCCAGGACGUCCCUAAAAAUGUCAGGAAUGAUGGUAGCCUGCACUUGGAAUCCCAAUGCUGAAGCGGGAGAGACAGCUGGAUCCUGUGGCUUGCUGACCCUCCAGUCUAAUGUAUUAGGUGAUCCACUGGUCCAAGUAAGAGGCAUGUCUCAAAUCUAGGUUUCUGAAGACUGAUACCUGUGGUUGACCUCUGGCUUCCACAUAAGUACAGGUACCUAUACAUACAUGUGUACUCACAUAAACAUGCAUAUGCAUGAGCAUAUACUCAACCAGUGCACUUCAAUAGUCCUAUUUAGUUCACUUAAUGCUCUACAGAGAGCAUUGUUGCUAGUGACUCAGUCCUUUUCAGGAACGCCAAGCUACUGAGUGUUCUCUGCAUCAAAUCAGCAGAACAGCAGGGCAUAUGCAUCUAUAAUCUCUUUCUUCCAUUAACAAAAAAAGAAAAGAAAAGUAGCCAACAACCCUCAGAGUCACCUUCAACUGAGCAUCAGAAUUCUUACUGUGCCCAACUGCUAAGAAUUGAAAAUGGAAGUGUGUGUGUGUGUGUGUCUAUGUGUGUGUGUCUAUGUGUGUGUGUCUGUGUGUGUGUGUGCGUGUGUGUGUCACAAUGUAUAGCUAACCUUCCCAAUGGAAAGGAAAGGAACCGAUAAAUCUUACACUGUCCCAUGUUCCAUUCACUCUUCAUUUGUAAAUUGUAUGAGACAUUCUGCGCUAAUCCAUGGCAGGCUUUCCAAGCUGCCUAAUCUUUUUUUCUUAUCACUGUUUAUGUUCCAAGAAGAUCUGGCUCUGUUUGUAUUUAUUGUGAUAAUGAUUUACUAUUCUAAACAAUUACUUUUUACCACUACUAGAAACAAUUCUGUAUAUAAGAGCCUUUUUAUUCCCUCCUCCUCUUCUUCCUCCUCCUUAAAUAAAGGAAUUCGCCUCAACUGUGGUAGACUAGCCCUGGUUUCAGAUUCUUAUUGCAGAUAAUGCCAGCGAGGAAGCAUGGAAACCAUUAUGAAGGAUCUAAACCAUAAACUCAGCUUAUCUCUAUUGAAUUCUCAUGGACCUCUGAGAAUGAAAGGAUCUGUUUGUUAAUGGCUUUUCCAAAUAAAAGCCACCCAAGGGCAUUGAUGUCAUGCAUCAGCAGCAGCACUUGAAAUGUCCAGGCCAUCAGGAAUCACUGGCAUUUCCAUGGCAAGAGAAUGCCUGUACAUUUGCUUUUGCAUAAACAUUAGUGGGUCCUAACAUCUGAAGUCAUUGUUAGCUUUGCAAUGGGUCUUCUUUAGCAACUAAUUCACAAUGUGUUAGAGGCAUUGGGCUCUCCCUAAUUGCUUCUCUCUACAUAUGGAUCAAGUUCUUACUGAAGGGGCAUUACUUUUUAAAAGACCCCUAGGGUCUCCUCGGGUCUUUAAGUCCUUGAUAGAAUGGCUUUGGUCUUCAAUACAUUGUGUAAACUCCUUCAAGUAGGGUGCAUUUCUCAUUCAUUUCUUAGAAGUUAUAUCUCUCUAACAGUGUGACUUCUCUUUUGAAAUUAUGGAAAUUAAAAUCCAGGAAAUCUAGCCAUCCACCCACAAAGGAAUAGAUAAUUAAAGAGCACACUGAAUUCUUCCACUAAUUUGGAAUCUUAAUGUUCUACCAAGAUCCCAGGCAGAUUGCAACUCUACAAUCUCAAGGUCCCCCAAAACAGUGAUAUAGACUGUGGUGGCUAUUCUUGUUUGUCAACUUGACUACAACUGGAAUUAACCAAAAUUUUCAAAUGGGAGACACCUGGUUUUGAAGUGGGAAGAUCUACUUCUAAUCUUGAUCUUUGAGGUGGGAUGACUUACCUUUAAUCUAGAUCUUUUGUGGUGGGAAGACCCACCUUUAAUCUGGGUCAUAUCUUCUGCUGGAAGCUUGCGUAAAGACAUGGAGGAAGGAAGUUUUUGCUUUUUGCCUGCUUGCUUUUACAAGUGCAUUCACUAGCAUUAGAGCCUGCUUCUUCAGGAUUCUAGCACACAUUGAGGAACAACUGAAGCAUUCAGCCUCAUGGACUGAACAACUACUGGACUCUUAGACCUUUCAUUCAUAGGCAACAUUGUUGGACUAGCUUGAGCACAACCUAGAAGCUGUUCUAAUAAAUCUCCUUUCUAUAUAUAGGGAGUUUCAUUCUAAAAGUUGUUACUCUUUGAGAACCUUGACUAAUAAAAAGACCCAGGAGCAUUAAGGGAACUAGGAGGAGAGGUCGGAAUAGGGAACAGAGGGAAAGGAGAGAAGACAAGACAGAAAGUGGCAGAGAAAGAAAGAAGGGUUUAGGUUCAGUUCUGCUCUAUUAUUCCUCUGGCUUGGGAAGUUCCUGUUACUGUCUAUCAUUUCGUCAUUUGUCAAACACAGCCGGGUCAGUGAGGAGCACGUGGCUUACUGCCUGCAGUCUUGCAUCUGGUCUGAAGGGUUCUAAAGUGUGCAUUUUCUACUGUGGCCUAGAAAAAUGCUGUAAUAUGGGUUUUCUUUUUCAAAAACCUUUCCUCUUCAUCUUACUUCUUAAUUUGAGAAUUUCCAGAGUCUCACCCUACACUUUCUGCUCCUCGAUGCCCCUGUCUUCUUCCUGGGUGGUCUCGCCCUUUUCUAGCUCCUAUUUCAAAGUUCCUUUGUCUGAUAUUAAUGCAGCCUCUCAGAGUUGCUGUUUGCAUGGUUCAUCUUCUCCCUUCUUAUUGCUUUCAACCUAGGAGAAUCUUUAUAUCUAAAGUGUGUUUUCUUUAUGCAGCAUAUAGUUAGGUUUUGUUUCAGGUUUUAAUACAGUCUGAUAAUUCCUGCCUUUUGACUAGAUCGGGUAAUUAUUCGUAAUUAAGGUUCAAUUUACUUCUGCCUCUUUGCUUUUGACUUUUCAUUCUUCAAAUGUUGUUCAUAGAUUUUUAUCUUUCUUUUGCUGCCUUCCUUUAUGAGAACUAGAUAUUUUAUAGUAUAAUGUUUUCAUGUCUUUGAUUUAAAAGAUAUGUUUUUAUUAUUUCUUUGAGAAUGUCAUACAUAAAUACAAUAUAAUUUUAAGAUCAUAUUUACCCCCACUUCUACCUCUAACUCUUCCUGAAACUAUUCUUACUCUUCAUUUGCUAUCAAUUUUAAGUCUCUCUUUUUAAAAAAAUACUAGAGAGUCCAGUAUAUGCUGCCUAUAUACUCAUAGGCACACACGUGCAUGGUUAAUACACUAGGGGCCACACCCUUAAAGAAUGUGUAUUCCUCCUUCCCCAGAAGCCACCAACUGUCAACAACUGCUCAUUGAGGGUAAGAAAUUAUGGCACUCUUUCUCUCCACGCUGAAAUGUUGACUGACUUGAUCUUGUGCUGGUCUUGUGCAGACAGCCACAGCUGCUGAGAUUUUGUGAGUGCACUGGCCUUGUCAUAUCCAGAAGACACUGCUUCCCUCUAGUCCUCCUCCACCUCUUGCCAUUACAAGCCUUCUGCUCCCACUUCCAAAAUGAUCCCGAUCUUUGGAGGAGUGGGUGUGAUACGGUGUCCCACUUAUGACAAAACACUCCCCAGAUUCUUGUUCUCUAUACUUUUAUGAUUGGAGGUUUCUAUGUUAACUGAUAUCUACUGCUUAAGGAAAUUUCUAUGGGAUGUAAUAGCUGUACUAAUCUAGGGAUAUAGAGAUGUCAGUUCACCACAGAGCCCAUUUAGAAAAAUAAUAGUAAUAAGAUCACCCACGAAGCUUGUGAGCUCCUCAACCAUGAGUUCUGGCCAGAUAUAUAAUAUCAGGCAUGUAGUUCCUCCUGUGGGGCAGUUCUUAAAUCCAAUCAGAAGGCAGUUGGUUGAUGCCAUAAUAUUUGUGCCACUACUGUGCCCAUGAACAUAGCUUGUUGCACUGCUGUUACUAGAGUAGUUCACAGCUGAGUAAGACUAUUGUUCCAGCAGCCCACAGUGCAUAGCCCCUUCCAGGACUAUGAGAUCCCAGCAGCAGGGAGAAAGCUUCAUGGUCAGUACGAACUUCAUUCCUCCAUGUCCUCCUCCAUAACAGUGUGGUUUCUUCAUCAAUAGCGUCUUAAUAUCAAGUUCUGAUAGGAAACCAAGAGCAAUGCCAAUGGCCUAGAAUGUUUGGGGACAUCACCUGGUACUUGACUUUUAAAAUACUUUUAUUAAUUCCUUGUGAAUUUCAUACAAUGUAUUUUGUAUGAAAAGAUUUAAACCUAGUAUAUAAACACUCUCUCCAUAUUUUGUAAUCUUAAUCCUUUAUAUAUUGCCAUUUACAUGUUACAAACCUCACAUGAAUUCUAGUAAUUACUUUACAUAGUGUACAUAUCGUAUAGAAUCUAGAUUCACAUAAAUUCGUAUUUGCAAAGUAUUACAUUAAUCUUCCCUUUCACCAAGUCUGAUUUGCUCCAUUUCUUUCUGAAGAUUUCAGUUGCUGUCUGGUCUCUUUACUUAACCUGAGUGCUGGGUAUCAUUUUGGUUCAUGUCCUUUAUGCUCCUGUUUUCAAAUGUAUGACAUUUCAGCAUCCUAUAAACCCAAUAGUGGGUGUAUAUAUACAUUGUUUUAUUAUGCAGUUCUUACCAGGAGUACACACUCAAUACUGUUGUCUUUACUAUGUUUUAACUUAGGUGAAAUUCAUACAAUGCUAAACUUAUUAAAGUGGAAAAUUUCAUGGCUUUUAUCUCACUCAUCACAUUGUAUAACCCUCACAUUCUGUAGUUUCUUUGGUUUGAAUUUUUUAUGGCCUCAGAGAAAUUCCACACACCCUCUUCCUCGUCCCUUUGCAAACACAGUCUUUUAAUCUCAAUGGUAUUUCUAUCUUAGAUGAUUUACUUAAAAAUUCAUGCAUUAUGUAACUUAUGUCUGUUUUUCACUAGAGUGUUUUCAAUGUUCAUCCAUAAGUACUCCAUCCCUCUUUAUGGUUAUAUAAUAUUUCACUUUGUGAACAUAACAAAAUAUGCUUAUCUGUUCACCUGUUGAUGGACACAAGCAUUGGUCUUUUUGCCUCCGAGCUAUGAUUAGUAACCGCUGUUACAAACAUUCUUGUAUAAAUUUCUAUGCAAGUAAAGGUUUUCAUUUCCACUGGAUAUAUAACUAGGGGUGAAAAUGCUGGGUUCUAUAUUCAUACAAUGUACAUGAACCAUAUCCAUCCCCCACCAUCUCCCUUCAACUCCCCCAUGUCCUUUCCAUCCCAUUUCUUUUCCAACUUCAUGUACUUUUUAAAACAUUUCUCUUUAAUUAAUAAACCCCUAAAUCUAGUCAAUGCCCGUAUGAAUGUGUAUCUAUUCACUGGGGCACAAACAACCAGCCAGGAGCCAUAUAUACAAAGAAGAGUGACUCUCCUUCCUACAGUAACUAUAGACUGCCAAUAGCUCUUCUGUUAUGGGUGGGGCCUCAGGAUCUCCUCCCCCAACCAUGCUGGAACUUGAACUGGCUUGAUUAUAUUCACAUCUUAUGCAGGCAGUGAAAGUUACUUUGACUUGAUUCAUGCAUGGUCCAUGAAUUUCAUAGCUCUCUCUAUUUUCCUCCUCCUCUUCCUCCUCCUCCUCCUUCUACGAAGAUCCUAGGGCUUUGGAUGAUUUAUGAUUGAUAUAGAUGUCGUAAGUAUUGGUAACUGAGUGCUCAGAGUUAUUUAUAAUUGGCAAUUUGACUAGUUAUGAGUCUCUGUAUUAACCAAUAUUCACUGCAAACACAAGUUUCUAUGAUCAAAAUUGAGAGCAGCUCAAGUCUUCAUAUAUUAACACAGAUAUUUCGAAGGCCGUUUCACAGCAUAAUCAUUUAACAAAACAAUAGUAUGUUCCCUCCAGGGUCUAUGAUCUUCCCGUUCAUGGGCUUUGAGCAUGUUUAUAGUACAGGGUAUGAAAUCCCUCCUACAGAACAUGCAUCAUAACCAAGAAAAAGCAGAUAGUUAACCCUUUACCCAUCAGCCACUCUUACACCAGCAGACACAUUUUGCCAGCAGGUUGAUACUGUAUGUAAUAUGAAUGGUCCAGAGCUGUGUAAGACGCUGUUGACUUUUCUCCCCUAGUAGCCUGCCCUGCACUCUGUGGAAUGAUAUACACUAGUAAGUAGGAUGCAUAUUUUCUGGCUAACUUGAAAUAGAUUUCUUUGUGUCCUAUAUCCAAGAUGAGUGGCAUCUUUAGCAAUAGGCUCUUACCAUCUAGUGUCAACUGCAGUCAGGAACAAUGCCAAGAUCCUGUAUUGUCUGGGGUGCUUCUGACUCAUAGGGAGGUAUCCUGUGCCUGCCACUAAGGUUUGCAUUAAUAAUCCAUGUACUCUGGGAGCAGCAUUGUUCACCAUGCUGAGUACUUUUGUUCAAACUCUUCCUCAACAGCUCCUGCUUCUUUUUUCAAAAUUAACACACACAGAUUAUUCUCUACGUACCAGUGACAAGCACACUGGAAAACAUAUCAGGGAAACAAUCUCAUUUAUAGUAGCCACACCAUCCAUAAAGCAAACAAAAAUAACUCAGGGGACUAAAUGUAACCCAGGAAAUGAAAUGAAAACAUUAGGGCGCUAAAGAAAGAAACUGAAGAAGACACUAGAAGGUGGCUCAUUGAUUAGAAGAAUAAGUAUUGUGGAAGUGGCCAUCCUACUAAAAACAAUCUGAAGAUUCAUCAUAAUCCCAGUCAAGAUUCUGGGGCCAUUUUUCACAAACAUAGAAAAGCAAUCUUGAAGUUUAUGUGACAGCACAAAAAACGAAGGAAAGCCAAAGCAAUCUCAAACAUAAAGAACACUGUGGGAAGAAAAAUACAAUAUUAAAAAGAACAUCUCUCUCUCUCUCUCUCUCUCUCUCUCUCUCUCUCUCUCUCUUUCUCUCUCUCUCUCUCUCUCUCUCUCUCUUUUCACACACACACACACACACACACACACACACACACACACACACACACACACCAAACAGACAAACAAAAAGACAAAAAUGAGCACAUCGAUCAGGGAACUAGAAUAGAAGCCCACACAAAUGCAACUACUUGAUUCUUGACAAAGAAGCCAGAAUACAUGUUGAAGAAAAGAAAUCAUAUUCAUCAAACAAUGCUGGGAAAACUGGAUUUCAAUAUGCAGAAAAAUUACACUGCAGCCUUAUCUCUCAACUCCUAGUCAAUCAAAUAUCUCAGUGUACGACCUGAAACCCUCAACCUGCCAUAAGAUAAAAUAGGGAUAGACUUCAACUCACAGUUUCUUAACAGGACUUCCGCAGCACAGGAAGUAAAAUCAAUGAUCCACACGUGGGGUCGCAUGAAGUUAAAAAAAAAAAAAAAGCUUCUGCACAUUCUCCUCAGGAGAUGAAAAUCCUACUGGCCCAGUUCAUUUAGUCACUCUUCACCCAAAUCCCCCUCCCCAACUCUUCCACAAGUCAAGUUGGCUCUCUAUCUCCAACACACCCAGAAGCUGCUCAUUUCCUUCUAUUUCCAUGUUCCUGACUGAGUCUGAAUUCUUUCUUCUCCUAGAGUGUAAUUCUUCCAGUUCACUGCUGCUUAUCUUCCAACGUGGUCCUCACAUAGCCCAAGGGGGACAUUUAGACACCUUUCUCUGGUGCAGGCUUUCUAGCAUUGCCUGCCUCCCCAGCAAACGACCCCACACCGUUACUGUCUUAUGGCUGCAACAUAUUCCUGUGCAGUAAACACUUUUCUUCUCCCUCUGAUUCUUUCCAUCCCUCCCUCCUCUGCAAUGCUAGCAUCUCUUCUCCUCUUGUUUCACUGCAAAUGCUACUUCCUUCCAGCGUUCUCUGUAGUGUUCUCUCAUUCAGCCCAGUCAUUUCCUCCACAUUUAUUGACAUAAUUUAUUGUUGUUAGAUUUUUUAAAGUAUAGUUUUACCAAAUGGUAAACCCUAAAACUUACGUAAUGUAAGAUUGCCUCAAAUGCAUGGCUAUCCUUCUGUCUUGGUCUUCUGAACACUUGAACACUAGAAUUCCAAUCAUGUUCCCCAUGCCUGGCUUAGUAUGCAAUUGUCAAUUUGCUUAAUGAUUGGGUUUAUGCAUUUCUCCCUGGAUGAUAAACAGGGCAGUAGGAGUCAUAGUGGUUUUCAAUAUUACUCUGUAAUAAACCCCAACAAAUGAUAAAACUUCACAUUCUGCCCUCAGUGAAUCCAUUUAGAAACUGUGCGGAGGUUCAUAUGAAUAUCUGUGUGCAUACACACAAGAAUGCAUACAAUAUACCCACAUGAAUAUAUUCAUAUACAUGCAUAUGUGUAAAGAGGCACAUUAGACAAACACAUCCACUUACUCUUUCACAACUCCCUGGAUUGCACAAAUUUCUCUUGAUUUAAGAGCUGAUAAAAGUAAACUCUAGAGUGCAUACAUGGCUUGCCCGUGGUCAUGCAGUGAGUGCCUGAACAGUCCUGCUGCAGUGCUUAUGCUUUGAAACCCUCCUCGGUGCAGUGCCAAGAACAAAGACGUUGGUCAGUUAAUGCUUCUAGAAUCAAAAACAAACAGAGGAGCAAUGCUGUCCCAGAUCUAUUCUGAGAACGCGGAAAUGCUCUGUGCCGCUCCGCACUGUCCCUAGUCCCCAGUGGCAACUAAGUACUUGAUAUGUGGCACUUAGGAAAUCUCACCGACUAGGUUUUUUAUUUCAUCUCAUUUUAACUAAUAAGUUUAAUAGCAUCUGGCUACUGACUGCCAUAGUAGACAGGGAAGUCCAUGAAGUUUGACAUCCUAUUGCUUUUGAUUCCUCGAUGUUCAUAUACAACCUCCAUGAGCUCAAUUCCAAAGACAGAGCUACACAUCUAUUUCCAUCCCCCACAUCCUGGUUUUUAUCCUGUCUUCUCUACAUCCAGUUUUCUAAACAGUCUUCCUCCUGGCAGUUCACCGUGGCCAGUAGGAUCAAGUUUUUUCUCCUUCGUAUGGCUUUAGCAAAGCCAACCCCUUCCCCCUUCAACAGUGCCCUAAACUAUCUCCUAUAGGGGUUUACAUGGUCAAUGAACACACGAUGUUUCUUUGGGAGAGAAUGCUUGUUAAGGUCCUUAGGGUAAGAGAGACACAAAGGCCAGUGAUCAAGGUCCCUGCCUAAGGAAGAAGUGAAGAUGUUAGCAUGUAACCUAACUCAAAGGGCCUUGGUCAAAAGGUUGGUGUGAUGGGAAGACAGAGCACCUGUGUCUGAAGCUACAUGGCUCCAAACUAGGCUGUAGGAGCAUCUGGUUAGCCAACACCAAUCUCACUCGCACCUCAACCAGAAGAUAGACAAAACCAAGCCUUAGAUAUUUUGACAGAAAGUUACGUUGUCUAAAUGAAGAACACUGUAUUUCUUUGUAGAAGAGAAUUAAGGAACUUAGGAUGUGGUACAGUUGGUAAAAUGCUUGCCAUCCAAGUAUGAGAACCCAAGUUUCUAUCUUUCAAAUGCUAUCUAAAUCGCUGGGGUUGGGUAGUUUGGGGCUGGGUUUAGAAUCCCAACUCUGAGAAUGUGGAGACAGACAGAUGCCUGGGGCUUGCUGGCAGGCCAGUCUAGCCAAUUGGUGAGCUCCAGAUUCAAUGAGAGACUCUUAUAAAAUAAAGUGGAGAAGUGACUGAAGAAGAAAAUUGAUGUUGAUGUCUAGCCUCCACAGGAACGCGCACCCACCCAUUCACCCACACAUGUACACACAUAAAAUAAGAGCAAUGAAGAUAAACAUCAGACAGGUGAGGAGGCUGAGUAAAUGACUCAGUGCAUAAAGCACUUGCUGAGCAGGCAUGAGGACUGAAAUGUGUGUAUUGUUAGCACCCACAUAAAUGCUGGGUGGGUGUGGAACCCUGCUUAGAAGUUCAGCUCUCAGAAGAGGACCCUUGGAGCAAGCUAGGUAGCAAGACUGGCCAUAUCAUGAGCCCCAGGUUCAAUAGAGACCCUGCCUUAGUGAAUAAAGUAGAAAGCAAUGAAACUUCAGGCCACUAAAUACUCACAUAGCAUAGGCAGCCCAGUACAUAUACACUCACACAUGUUUGCAUGCACAACAUUUGGUAAUUUAAAUAUGCUUGGCCCAGGGAGCGGCACUAUUAGGAGGGGAAGCCUUGUUGGAGUAGGUGUGGCUUUAUUGGAGGAAGUGUGUCACUGAGGGGGGUGGGCUUUGAGAUGUUCCUCCUAACUGCUUGGAAGAUAGUCUUCUCCUGUUUGCCUUCAGAACAGGAGGUAGAACUCUCAGCUCCUCCAACACCAUGCCCGCCUGGAGACUGCCAUGAUGUUAACCAACUGAACCUCUGAACCUGUAAGCCAACCCCAAUUAAAUUUGUUCUGAAAGAGUUGCCUUAAUCAUGGGUGUCUCUUCACAGCGUUAAAAAUCCCAAUUAAGACAGAAGUUGGUACCAGGGACUAGAGUAGUGCUAUGAUAGGCCUAACCAUGUUUUUGUUAGGAAGAUGCAGAUUGUGGGACUUUGGAUUUGGGAAUACAGUAGAUGACUUGAUGGGCCAUGCUAGUAGGAAUGUGGAAGACGUUGGUGCUGAGGGUUAUUUGAAUUGUGCAGACCUGGGCCAAGAGGUUUCAGUGGAGAAGAAUUCAGUAUGUGGCCUAGAGAUUGUUUUUAUGGUAGUUUGGUGAAAAAUGUGGCUGCUUUUUGCCCUUGUCUAAAGAGUCAACCUGAAGCUAAGGUAAAGAGAUUUAUAUUAAUUGCAUUUAUUUAUAUAUUAAUUGCAUUAAUUGAGCUCAAGGUUAGUCUACAGAGCAAGUUUCAGGACAGCCAAACUUACAUGUGAAGGAGUUGGAAAAUAGAAAACUGGUGACAAUCUAAUAGAACAAGGGGGCCAUGUUCCAGUCCCAGAAAGCAGCAGAACUCAGCAGCUUCAAUCAUGUAGCCCUGGCUUUAGAGUCUAGAAUAGAAGGGACUACUGGAACAAUUGAUACUGUGACAACUUCUUAGCUCCAACUAAGAAAUGGUGGUGAUUAAGAGGAGAUCAGCAUCAUUGAGGGGAAAUCUUCUGGGAAGUGUUUUUUGAGAGCAUAAAGAAGCUAUGUUUCAGAGACAGCCAAGGUUGUACCUCAUGCUUCAGCUGGACUUGGUAAUAUGUAAGAAAUCACCCAGAUGGUACUGGUUUUGAGAGCAUGAAGGGGUCAUGGAGAGCAGCUGAGGCUGGGCACUGUGAGAGGUCAUUGAAAGCCAUUGGUGAAGGUGCAGCCUUAGUUAUAGUUAAUGACCCAGGACUGAAGGGACCAUGCAAGAAAGUUGAGGCUUGCAACCAUGAAGGAAGCCUAUGAGAAGCUAUUGGUGAAGCCCAGAUUCAGUAGCAGACACCAGCAAAUUUGAGAUGCCAGUAUUAUGGGAUGAUCACCAAGAACAGCAGCAGCAGUGGAAUGGUGUCAACCAGAUCCUAGAGUGCUUAGCUCAGGGAGAGGCACUAUUAGGAGGGGUGGCCCUGUUGGAGUAGGUGUGGCCUUGGAGAAAGUGUGCCACUGUUCGGGGUAGGUUUUGAGACCUUCUUCCUAGCUACCUGGAAGAUAGUUUUCUCCUGUUUGCCUUUGGAACAAGAUAUAGAAUUCUCAGCUCCUCUAACACCAUGCCUGCCUGGAUGCUGCCAUGUUUCUCACCAUGAUGAUAAUGGACUGACCUUCAGAACACGCAAACUAGCCCCAAUUAAAUGUUUUCCUUUAGAAGAGUUGCCUUGGUCAUGGUGUCUCUUCACAGCUAUGAAACUUCUAAGACACACCACAAACAGACAAACACCAAGAAAAUCUCAGACUGAGGAAGGGGAUGGCAAGUACAGCCCUAUGUUCAACACUCUGCACCCUGAGCAACACAGCAAGAGCAGCAACAGCAGACACAGACCGAAGUCCAAAUUCCAGAGGCAAGGAAGAUGCAGCCAUGGAUGUGGAUCAGUCCUUAUGGGUUCAGAGCUCGUAUUGUGGACAGUGGCCACUGACUGGGGCAGUAAGUAAGUCUUUGUUUCCUCCCACAGCUCGCAUACUUGGAAUCUCACUGGCUUUGUACGUAGGCUAGAGCAAAAUGGCGCUGUUUGUUUGGAUUUUGCUUUUUCUGUGGAAUAUCUACCAGGAAGCAAUGUGCUUUUGUGUGUCAAAGAUCAGAAAGGACCCACUUCCUCUUCUCCAAUGGGUUUGGGCAGGAAUCAACUGCUCCAUUCAUUCCCGCUGCUCUUCACUUCCCAGCUGAGUGCUACAUGUUUGAAUGCUACAGAGAAGCAGUAUUUCCACCCCCCACAAAGAAGUCUCUUUUACAGCACCAUGCCUGUAAAAGUGAGGUUUCCCCUGGGUCAUUCAUAUGAGAGGAAGUCAUGGGAGAGCACAGAAGCACCCAGGUGAUGCCCAAGAGCCCAGAUACCACAGUAUCGUUACCUCAGAAGACUUGGUGUAAUGUUCCCCCUCCCCAAACUUCCUUAAAUUUACUCACAAAUUUCAAUAAAUUAAGUCGUUAGACACAAAACCAAAUUGAGAUUUUAUUGUGAUAGCUAAGAUGUUCCUUACGGAUUAAACAAUAAAUCAGAAAGUGGGAAAAUAUUCCGAAUUAAAAACCGAAAAAAGAAAAACUAAACAAAUGAUCCCCAUUGCAUCCUAGACAGAUGAAAAUCUCUCUUGAAGAAAUUAACUCCCUGCAUGUGACUUACCUCCUCAGCCUUCUAAUGCAUAUUCUAAGAUUGCCAGUUCCAUGAUGAGAGCCUUCAGCCUACUUGGCCAAACAACAUAGUUAUUUUCAUAAAUAUUUUUUCUUCAGACAGGCUCCUCAUGAUUCAAGCUUGUUUCCAGAUAAGAAGUCAUGGUGCAAGCAGUUCUAAGAUCAAAGCCUUUCCUCAUGCACAUUCAUAUCUUAGCAGAUAAACACAAAAGCGACAAGCUGGGAGAGCCCCACUCAGUGUUCAGAACCUUACCUAACCUCUCAUAAAAUGCUCACCUUGCCUAUGACUGGCUGGGGGGCGGGGGGGAGGCGAUGAAUACAGAACUGCUUUCAUGAAAUACAGGAGCUUCAUCGUAAGCCCCGGGACACAUAAGAUGGCUGGGUUUUCCCAGUCACACACUUGUGAUCAUGGAAGGGAAAACAGUCAUCAUGAAUCACUGUUUCACUAUAAAAGGGGCUUCACAAUUUCUCUUUUGCAAAUUAACCAAGUCUGUGUUAACCAUUACAACAGUGACAUCAAAAAUAUCUGAGAAAAGACAUCAGUGGACAUCUUGGCUAUGAUGUGGUACCUCUGAGGAGCUGAUCCCACCUCCAAUCGCCUCUCCAUAGUAAUCUCCCACCCUCUCAUAUCCAGGUUCCAGCAGCAAAACAAAAGCCCUCCAUCAGCCUUGGAACUGGGCCAUUACACAUGGCUGUGUGCUAGGCAGUGAGCCCUGCUCUCACAGACUUAAAACUCUUGAUCGUAUAUCUACUGAGAAGCCCCACCGUUUAAUUUUUCUGUGAGAGUCACCAACUGCAGUGAGAUUUGCGUAGCUUAUAAAUCAGAACUAAGAUGGAGUUUUGAAAGUUAAUUCAGUCCAACUGCUGACUAGUUUAAAGAAAACUCCUGGAAGUGAGCAGUAGAAUAUGUUAUCCAGUCCCACAUUACUAUUUUUUUUUAAAUCACAUCUUAUUCUAACUCCUGUGUGAGGGAGGAUGUAAGCCUCCCCCGAGCCCCCCGAUUCCAAACUACUAAUUUCCAUGGUUACAGUUUCAAACCUCAUGAGUGAUAGGCAUGUAUUUCCCAGUCUCCUAUUUGUUUCCUGAUUCUACAUGAUUAACUCCACAAAACUAGCUGGGUGCAUGGCAAUGAGUAGUUGGUCCCUGUUCACACAGUUACAUUAGUUAUAUGGUUGAAGAUACUUCAGCCGUAUUGCUGCUGCACUCUGUAGCAGAAACUAGUGGUUUAGCUAAGUCAGCCAUUGUGUCUUCCUCCUGAGCUCUCCCAGUGAAGCCUAGAAGCUGGGAACUCCUCCUUCCCCUCCUUCUUUGAAGGAAGGUCUACGUCAUGGAGUGACACAAUUAUAACCAAGGUGAUGUGAAGUCUUCUAGGAAACUUUGGAUAAAAUUGUUUCCUUCAUUGAUUAAAGAGAGAGUGCCGUCAUAAGAAAGAUAGUUUCCACCAGCAUUCUCUUGCCUACUUUCUACCUUGACGUCAUUUGGAGUAACAGCAGCCAUGUUGUGAUAAUGGAGACAAUGAGUGCAUGGGACAUUAUCAACUAACAAACACAGUACACAUAAAGGACCUUGGGAGACCAGGGAGCACCCAAGCCAAUGCUGGAAAGGACCUGAUUGUGCACGGUUUCAGUACCUGUUAGGUGACAUUUGUUAAAAUUUGCAACUAGCGUUGCUCUCAAAGAAAUAUAUUGUCUUAUAAAUAUUAUACCCUUUGGUGUAGCGCAUACCUUCCAUAAGCAGCUGCUGGGAGAUCACUUUACUGGCUUGCAAAGUACUUCUGACAACCCCCAUCCCCAAUGUUGCUCCACCUUCCCUCUACUUCACAAAGCCUGACAUGCGUGUUGCCAGAGAAUGCAGUCGGAAUGAAUGCCCGCCUGCAUCUCACAUGCAGCUCAGACCUCUUGGGAAAUAUGUAGGAUGGAUGAAAAACACAGCACUGUCACUGUCCUCAGCAGCACACAUCUUACUCCAAUUCUUUUCCUUUUGCAAUUGAAUUUUAAUAUGAAACACCAUCAUGGGAAGCUUUAAUAGGACUUAGAAAACAGAACAUCGAAUUACUAAGCAAGGUGUGAUGAUCCACAGCUGUGAGUCUCAGUUGUCAUAGGCAGAGAUAGGAAGAACACGAGUCAAGUCAGAGCCUAGGCUGGGCUAGCAGUAAAUCUCUCUCUCUCUCUCUCUCUCUCUCUCUCUCUCUCUCUCUCUCUCUCUCUCUCUCCCCCUCUCUCUCUCUCUCUCUCUCUCUCUCUGUCUCUCUUUGUCUUUGUCUGUCUCUCUCUCUGCCUCUCUCUCUGUCUUUCUCUGUCUCUCUGUCUCUCUCUGUCUCUCUGUCUCUCUCUGUCUCUCUCUCACUGUGUGUGUGAAUGCAGGAAAUAAUAUUGUUUGGUUACUAAUACCUGGCAUAUUAGGAGCUAGAGAAAUGGCUCAGUCAGUAGAGUUCUUGUUUAAUAUACAGGAGGACCUGAAUCCAGAUCCCCAUAUACCACAUGAAAAAGCAUGGCAUACACUUGUAAUGUCAGUGCCUGCAGAGGUAGAGACAGACAGAUCCCUGGGGCUUUCUGUCCAACUAGCCUACUUAAAUUGACGGACUCCAGCCCAGUGAAAUACUCUACCCCUGACCCUGAAAAGGUGGCUGGCAUCUGAGGAAUAACACCUGAGGCUAACCUCUGUCCUCUAUACUCAUGCUCACAUGCAUGCACUGCACAUUUUAUACACACAAAUUAACAUGCAUGCACAUGUACACACAUACACACAAACUAACAUGCAUGCACAUGCAUGUGCAUGCAUAUACACACAAAUUAACUGGAUUUUAAGAGGGUGUGAUUGGACUCAGCUAGAAGAUGACAGAAUCUAGUUGGUUGUCAUAGCACAAGACAUCAAAGGCAAAAGUUGCAGCUUGGUGGGUUCAAGUCACAGCUCCACCACUGGAUUUGUAGAUUCUCAACAGUAAGUUACCUCUAUGAGCCUUGUUCUUUCCUGUAAGGUGAGGGUAGUUUCUAAUUCAUGAAGCUGUGUGUGGGUCGGAGAAAGGAGCCUGUCAGAAAAGACAUGUCAGAAAGCAUCCACCGGUUUUAGGUAUCGUUGCCUUUCAUCUCUAUCUGGUACUAUCUGGAAGUUGUCUUUCAAAAAUUUUCAGUGUAUCACACACAUCUAAUUUCUGGCACUGCAAAGGGCUUCAAUACUUAAUGAGAAAAUUAAAAAUAUCUGUUAGGUAGCCAAAAUAUCUGAUAUUUUUAGAAUCCUGGGUCCAGAUAUCAAUGGCCUAAGGGUUCUGUACAGUUCUGUUCUUACAGAUAGACUCAUAGUACCUUAGCUUUUCUUUUUAAACAACAAAAAAAGUGGAAAUAAUAAUAGUAUUGUUCCUUCCAAGGAUUAGAGCUAUUUGCUGUUCUAUUUGCUGUCUGACAGAUAAUGAAUGAUGCAAAAUUAUUGCACUUUUUAAAGGUGGUGGUGACACAUGCCUUUAAUCACAUGGCAGAGGCAGGUGGAUCUCUGUGAGUUCAAGGCCAACCUGGUCUACAGAGCAUAUUCCAGGAUAGACAAGGCUGUAGCAGAAAAACCCUGUCUCAAAAACCAAAAAAAUAAAGUUUUUAUUUCAUUUAUUACUAUUUUGAAAUAUAUAACCGUCUCUGUGUGCAUAUGCACAAGUGUAUGGGUGCCUGCAGAGGCCAGAACGAGGCAUCAGAUCACAUGGCACUGAAGUUACAGGCUUUUCUGAGCACCUGACAUGAGUACUGGGAUCUGAACUGAGUCUCCUGCAAGGGCCGAAAAUGCUUUUAAUUUCUGAGUCAUCUAUUCAGCCUUCAUUGUCGUUUCUUUACAACCAGCCCUCCAGGAAGGCUAAUUCACUGUAUUAAAUAAAUAUAUAUAUUGUAUAUACUGUUUGUCUCCUUUCUAAAUCCUCAGAUCCUCAUCUAAACACUGGACAAAUGGAAUUCUUCCUUUUGCCUCACCAUGAGCAUUAAUAUGCUAAGGUGUUGGGUUUUUUUUGUUGUUGUUGUUGUUGUUGUUAUUGUUUUUGUUUUCUUUACAUCACAUACAUGUUAAUUCUCCCUGAAUAAAGUAAACUAUUGCUC